rnacentral:lncRNA from 1 species
UUUGACCAAAAAUCGAUAGAAUAUCUUCACAGCAAUACAUCAACCCAAUCAUCUCGACUUCAUAGCAUACAAUUUACAGACCAAACAUAAAAGGGAAUCCUUAGCACCAUGAUCAGACACAAGAAUAUGCUCACCGUGUUGUCUACUAAAGGAGGCCAGGCCAAAUAGGGAUGGACAGGGCAGCCAAUUCGCUUUCUGUUCUUAAAAUGCUGGUUCAGCUCCGCUGUUUCCAGAGAGAAGGACAUGAACCACUCAGGGGAUUUGUACUUAUCCCUGAAAUUCUUCCAGGGGCAAAUAGAAAGGUACACAAAGCCAUUGAAGACCGUCAUAAGCUGCACAGAGAAUUUAUCUUCCACUGAACAGCUGGUGACCUCCAUAAAUCUAGCGUGCAACGGGAACGUACUGUGCAGCACAAAUCUCUGGACGCCAUCAUCACCGGCUGUGCAGAUCGGAACCCGGGGCGGCGGCCCCGGCGGGAUUGGCGCCACCGGAUCCUCGGCGCAUGGUGGCGCAGGUGCGGGCCGGUGCCCCUCGGCCGUGUGGACGGCGAGGUACCCGGUGGAUGCGAGCCAGGGCGUGGCGGCGGCGCCUUCGGCUCCGCGGCUUCUGAUCUGGCCGCCUACCACCCUCUACGGCGGAUUCGCAAGUCCUCCCCCCAGAUCUGGCCGGCUCCGUCUUGGACGCCGGUUCUUCGCCGGGUGGGAGUGGGGACCGGAAGAUUGCCAGGAGAAAUCCCUAGCCGUCCUGCUGGCUGUGACGGCGGCGAUGCCCGCGGGCGCCGCGCACCUUCUUGGAGGCGCUGGUCAGGUAUACCUUCCCCACCCCCUCCCCCUUGUACUCCCGGGUGAAAACCCCAACGCUGUUGGGCGGCGGCGACGCCCUUGGCGCCGUAUCCUUCUUGAAGGCGCUGCUAUGGGAGCAAGGUGGGAAUUUGGUCUUCGCUGUGCUGUGUGUGGUGGGUGUUGGCGGCAGCAGUAAACGCCAGCGGUGGUAGUGUCCCCCUGGUUCAGGCCAUGUCCCUGGCUGCUGCUCCGUAGUUCAUCCUGGCAGCUCUCCUCUUGAACUGCCCGAGUCUUUGGUUUUCGGUGAUGCUCUGCUCUAGGUGAGAAGUCGACGACAGGUCGCGUCUGCCUAGUCCCAACAAUGUGGAUGCCAUCGGUGCCACUCAUCCAGGUUCUAGGGUGAACGUGUUCAUUGUCGACGGUUCGGCGCCUUUCGAGCCAGGCGAGGAGGCAGGGGCCUCUUUCGACGAUGGAUCUGGAUGGUGGUGUUUCCCGGCUGGUCCCAGGUGUUGUGGCUAUGGCUGCCUCUCUCGGUCAUCUACUCUUCCUCUCCUUCGCCGGCCUCCCCCUUCUCCUAGGCUUCGCGCGUGCAAGAGGCCUUGUCAUCUUCAAGCUUGGUGCUUCAUGUAGAUUUUUUUCAGUUUGUUGUAUGUCUGGCAUGUGAGCUGCUCCCGGCAUCAUUGUAUCUUGCCGUGUUUUCUUUUUCUGGUUUGUGUCGAGGUUGUGCUUCAGAGUUUGUAAUCCUGACCGGUUGAUGGCUUUGUUAAUUCAAAGCCGGGCUCUUCGCGAGCCUUCGUUCUAAAAAAAUGACGAUGCAGAGGUUCCGAUCCUUGGUCUGACCAAUCUUAAAUUUUGGGUAUACCACUCUCAAGGACGGCGGCAGAUCAAUUCGAGAGAACUGAAAGGUAUCCGUGUUGAGCACCAAAAUGUACUCGCUGAGAGAUACCUCAUUCAGGGACACGAAUUCCCAACAGAUAAACCCAUCCACCACCGUGCUGGCUGCGUGCAUGGAGCCCUCGGGCAGCGGCAUCGCAGUCUCCGGGAACAUCUGCCACUCCAUGGUGUCGGAUGAGAGGACAGCAACGCGUACCCAAGCCCACGAGUAGUCGUGACGGACACAGACCACACGGGACGGCCUCUGAUCCUCUUCGGGAGGGAGUGUGUGGAACUCAAGGGAGCUGCCGUAGGGCAUGUCGUGGUCCUCCUUGGGGCCGAGAAUCAGGGCAGUUGUUUGGGGAUUGUACAAAGCUUGCUGCUUGGUGGUCCGCUUUUCGAUGCAAAUGAAGCCGUCGUCGUAGGCAAUGUCGCGGAAAUCGAGUCCCCACUCGGAAUCGGAAGCGGCGGCGUGGUCUCGGAGGGGACUGAAUCCGGCGGAGGGGCGCCGUGAGGAGGGGAAGGCCGGUACCGUGUGCAUGCAGGGUGUGAGGAAGAGAGCGAUGAGCGGGGGUGCGUGGAGCUCGCGGAAGCGGCGGCGGAAGGCGCGCGACGAGCAGAUGGCGCCGAGGAAGGCGCGGCAGGUGAAGGCGGCAGAGGCGAGGCUGCGGAGGUCCGGGAGGCGGAGGAAGAUCUCUCGGAGCUGGUUGUCGCCGAGGGCGCUUAUCGUGGUUCGAGCGGGUGGUCUAGGGUAUUCCGGCGGCGGCGACGGGUGGGAAGCCAUGGCUGCUUGGCUGCCGAGCUCGAGCUGAAAUGGAGACCUUUUUUUGAGACAAUCACGCGAAGCUUUAUUUAUCCUGAUAAAUGUUUACAGGGACAAAAACGAGAUUACCAGGGUGUCCUAACCAAACAUGGCGGCCCACCCCUAACUUUAAAGCAUGCUUCGCUAGAUUGUGAGACUCGAAGUUCGAGCUCCUAUACUCAUGAACAAAAUUACACUCUACGAAACCAUUCGCAAGGUCAGUUAUUUCAUGUAGAAUUGCACCAUAACCAGCUGGGUUUUGCUCCUUCAUGUCCUCAAUCACCACUUUACAGUCUGAUGCAACGUGUAGAUUCUGCAAGUUCAGAUCUUUGGCCAGGGCUAGAGCCUCCCGAACAGCAAGCGCUUCUAGCGUCGGUGGGUCGUACACACCCCGCACAAGUAUGGCCGAAGCCCCAAGGAAAUUACCAGUGUGGUCUCUGCAUAUUGCCGCUGCAGUUCCUCUCUUCUGAUUCUUAGAAACAGCACCGUCUACAUUGAUCUUGCACAUUGUUCCUGGUGGGUGAAUCCACUGUGUUGUCCUUGGCCGUGCUCCUCCCUCCCUCGGCCGUACUAUGCUUCUAUCUUGCUGUAUUGACCGAAGAUCAUUCAUAUAGGCCUGGAUAAAAUGAUGAGUGGAUUGAGGGCUCUCAAAUAUAUCCUCAUAUAUCGCCUUUCGUCUAGAUUUCCAGACAGCCCAUAGAGUAACCACCAUGAUCACAAACUCCUCCUGCGAAAGUACUUCAUGCAUGGCGAAGAUCCAGUUCCUUGCAUUCAUGUCCGCAUUCUGGCUCAUAUGCUCCACCAGACAGGGAUCGGCUAAAGACCAUAUGCAUCUAGACAUAGUGCACUCCAACAGGGCAUGUUUCCAUGAAUUGUCACAACCACACAGGGCGCAGCGUGUGGUGGUAGACAUGUUGCGGCGGUGCAGAACGUCCAUCGACGGGAUCGAGUGUUGAGCUAGUCUCCACAAAAACACCUUAAGCUUCGAAGGCACCUUGAUAUGCCAUAGGCUUGUCCACUCGUUAUUCUGUGUGUUAAUAUCCGAAACUCCACCAGCUCCAUCCAACCAAUUCUCACGAUGAUGCUUUGUGUUCAUCACCAUCCUGUAUGCUGACCUCACCGUGAAUUUGCCACUCCUUUCGCCGGACCAUGCCCAAAAGUCCUCAAUAGAUUUUGUGCACAAGGGAAUCGCCAAAAUUGAGUCCAUGUCAAACGGUAAAAAAGUACCCCUGAUGAGACCCUCUCUCCAUGAAGCAGAUGUGGGAUCAAUCAACUUUGACACUAACCUCGGAGGAUUAGCUGAGAUGGAAGUAAUUGGUCUCAUGGGGCCAGUUCUUGGAAUCCAGUUGGUGUUCCAAAUAUCUGUUGAUCUCCCGUUUCCAACUCUUCGGAUUAAGCCCUGUUUCAAGACUUCUCUUCCAUCAAUCACCGCCCGCCAUAUUUGCGAAGGGUGGUUGCCCACCUCGGCUUCCAUGAAACUAUUCACUGGAUAGUAAGCAGCUUUAAGCAAUUUUGCACUAAGCGAUGUAGGAUCAUCCAUGAGUCUCCAUGCCUGUCGAGCUAGUAGAGCGAGAUUGAAAACCUCAAUAUCUCUAAAACCCAUGCCACCUAGGUAUUUUGGCUUUGUCAUUAUUUCGGUUUUUUCACUUUGUUUAUAAUUUCAGUAGGCUUUAUUUAAAUUGUUCAAAAGUUAAUGAAAAUAUGGAAAAUAUCACGAAAUAAAAAAAAAUCUAAACAUGAACACUGUUCAAAAAUUUAAAAAGUGCUCACAAAUUCAGAACAUGUUCGGAAAUUUUAAAAAAUGUUCAUGAAUUGAAAAAAAAUUGCGUACUUGAAAUUAUCCAAUUUGAUAAACUUUCAUGAAAUGAAAAAAAUUCCAGGAUUUAAAAAUGCUUGUGAGUUUAAUUCCUCAGAAUUUAAAAACUAUUCACGAAAUUAAAAAUUCCUUGUUAAUUUAAAAAAUGUUCACUAGUUUCAAAAAUGUUCUUGAAUUCAAAAAAUAGUCUAUAAUUUCUAAAAAUGUUUGUGAAUUUUAAAAGUAAAUCAAAAUAUGUUUGUGAGUUGAUUAAAAACGAAAAAAAGGUAAAAGAUAUAGAAAACAGAAGAAAAAAAGGGCGAGAAAGACCUUUUGGAAUCUUCCAAAAAUAAGGCAAAAAAUUCUAGAACCUUCCUAAGACCGGUCAAAAUCUCACCGCUGCCUCGCCGCCCAAAAAGCAGCGCUAGUGGGCGAUCUCUCCGACAUGUAUCGCUUGUGCUAGCCGCUUGCAAGGGGGGUUCGGAAUGAAAUUGGUGGUUUGAGAGCAUCUCCAACAUGCGCCCGAAAACUGCUUCGCGCGCUAAAAUUCAGGUUUUCUGGACGCCGGACAGCUCCAGCAGAGGCUGUAAAAUAGUGCGCACGCAAAAAAAGGGUUGGGAACACGCUACAAAUUUGGGGCGCCAGAUUGCGCGCGCUUCAUAAUUUGCACUGCGUGUUUUUUUUUUGCGCGCGUUUUUGGGGCAUCUGAUAAAUCAAUGUUGAGUCCGGCGCGCGAAAAGUGCUACAGUGACGCGCUAAAACUAUUUUAGUGCGCGAAACUUUUAUGCCGCCUAUUUGGGAUGCUCUUAUAACUCAAGGCCCGGGAGGAGGAGUUGGCCAUUGAAAGGUUUAGAAGAAAAAAGUCAGCCUGCAAAGCAGCAGCAUCUCGACAACGGGUGAUGAAAUCAAUAAACAAAGCCAAACACAAGAGACAGGCACGUCGUCUGAAGAAGAAGAAAGAGCUCUGAUAGUAGCGGUUAGUUUGUGUGCUAUCUUCGGUUGUAAACGUGGCAUGAAGUUGACCAUUUGUAACGUGGAUCACAACUAAGUCCUCAUGGUGGCAACAAAAGUUUUGCGCACUAAAAUAAUGAAAAAUGCACGGACACCCCAGUGUAGAUUUUUCUUACUUUAAGUUGUUGAUUUGAUCAGGAUAUGGGUAUAACUUAGUGUUCAUCGGUUCUAGUUCAAUAGAUAAAUAAUGAAAAAUGCACGGAUAUGAAAAUCUACCCAAUUUGUAUCGAUUGAAUCCCAACAUAUGAUUUGUUGGCCCCAAAACUUAACAACNNNNNNNNNNNNNNNNNNNNNNNNNNNNNNNNNNNNNNNNNNNNNNNNNNNNNNNNNNNNNNNNNNNNNNNNNNNNNNNNNNNNNNNNNNNNNNNNNNNNNNNNNNNNNNNNNNNNNNNNNNNNNNNNNNNNNNNNNNNNNNNNNNNNNNNNNNNNNNNNNNNNNNNNNNNNNNNNNNNNNNNNNNNNNNNNNNNNNNNNNNNNNNNNNNNNACAACCAUCGCUUGUCACUGCAUUAAUAGGUUAGUCCAAUAAAAUAUUAUAAGGUGCACCAUGCCUAACAUGUCGUGGAGGUCUGUCUUGGACAUGCUCUAGCAUAAGGAAAAUGUACAAACGCGUGUUGAAGAGCGAAUGACUGGACUCUUGUACCGCAAUUGGCAUUUUCUAAAGUGCCGAAACACCUAAACAAAAUCAUUACAUUUCAUCUAAUUAUCCUUACCAAAACAUAGGAAUAGAACCGGCCCCUUCUAAUUAAAUGGAAGCAUGACAUUUCAUUUCACUUAUUUUCCUAACUAAACACACCUUACUCACUAUAUGUAAUAAUACUUACAAAAGUAGUAUCAUACGUAAUAUGCAUCUUUUUAUACUAAUGUAUGGGCAGCUUUGCCUUAUAUCCAAAAGUAAAGCACGCAGCCAAAGCAUGCGUUCCUUUUGGCCACCGCCAAGAGAAUUAGAGCCUGUCGGGACUCCCUCCUGCUCUCCAACUCCGUUCCGGAGGGGAGCAACAUGCAGUGUUAAUUUGGGGAGCUGCUAAUAUGAUGCUCCACCCGCACCGCUCCCGAGUGGAGGAGUGGAGGGCUACCGAACACAACCUUAGUAAGAGGAUGAGGCAAAGAUAUAACAGCCCGCACGCUCCCGUUGGUCAGAGCAUCUACAUGUGAACUCCUCAAAUGCCUCUCAUAUGUUUGGAUGGACAACUUGGUCAUUGACCAGUCACAACUUCGGUGUGGUGGGGUUGCGCCUCAUUUGCGCAGCGUCAGUCUCCAAGUCUCCAAGGCGAAGACGAAGACGGGCCCGCGCUAGGCGGUGCCCGCAGCUCGCCAAGCUUCGGUGACUCCCCUUCUGACGGCAGCUCCUCCAGCGGCGGCCGUGAUCAGCCACCGUGUUGCUGCGCCCGCUUCGAGGGGGUGGCGGAUCAUCCCGCCGUCGCACCUCGGUGAAGCGUGAGCAGGGGUCCGUUUGAGCUCCGGAGGGUGAUGCGAAUCCUCUUCUGCAGGCUGUUGUUGGGCGAGCCGUGCUCAUUUGUUUUUUCUCCCUUUCAUGCAUAAAGAGAGAGAAGUGUGGAGCCCCGUGGGGGCAUGCUAGACUGUUUCCUUCAAUUAUCAUGUCGUUUCUAUUAUUCCCAUGCCGCAUUACGGUAUUGCAUGUUCAUGUGUUGGAAUAACUUAGCUCGGGGGGAUUUGUCGCGGCCUUCGCCUCGGGAGGCUCCGGCCAGAGGCCUUGUCGUGCGUCUUGAGGCUUGCAAAAAAUUAGCCGGAGGGACAGACUCCGUCCCUCAGCUGUGAGGGCGACCAGCUCAGGUCAUGCAUUCGUGUCGCGAUGCCCGUGGGGCAUGGACCGGGAAGAGUGCUCCCGCUAUGAACUUAGGUUGGGAAACCUCACGAAAUUAAGCCAAAAGAUACUCGCGAGGNNNNNNNNNNNNNNNNNNNNNNNNNNNNNNNNNNNNNNNNNNNNNNNNNNNNNNNNNNNNNNNNNNNNNNNNNNNNNNNNNNNNNNNNNNNNNNNNNNNNNNNNNNNNNNNNNNNNNNNNNNNNNNNNNNNNNNNNNNNNNNNNNNNNNNNNNNNNNNNNNNNNNNNNNNNNNNNNNNNNNNNNNNNNNNNNNNNNNNNNNNNNNNNNNNNNNNNNNNNNNNNNNNNNNNNNNNNNNNNNNNNNNNNNNNNNNNNNNNNNNNNNNNNNNNNNNNNNNNNNNNNNNNNNNNNNNNNNNNNNNNGUCAUGCGAACAGCAAAGACAGGAAACCACAGGCUGGGGACGGCAUACAACAUCAAAAGCAACUCCAACCAAAGCCCCAAACAAAGAUGAACUAGCCAACUGUAGAAAGCAAAUGAAAAGCCGCGUCCGGCACCUAAUCUAGUCUUCGACGUCUUCUCACCAGCGUGGAGCUAAGUGCUGCCACUGGGCGUGGGCGGGAGCCCCCGAGGCCCGGGGGCGGCACUCCGGAGACUCCGGGGCGUGUACAGCCCCAACUCAUUAUUACGUGAGAGUGUCACGGGCGGCGAGCUUCACAGGCCUUGGCCUUCUUCACAGGCACCGGGCCUUUCCUUGGGGGAGUCGAGCUUCAUAGGCAUUGGCCUUCUUCACAGGCAUCGGGCCUUUCCUCAGGGCGGCAAGCUUCACAGGCAUUGGCCUUCUUCACAGGCACCGGGCCUUUUCUCGCAGGCACUGGGCCUCGCUUCAAGGGUAGAAUCUUUGGAGGUGCUGAAUGAUCCACGCGUUCGGGAUGGGCACCCCCUCCUGGGUUUCCAAGCGCGUGGAGCCGGGCCUGGAAACAUGAACAACCUUGAACGGGCCCUCCCACAUGGGCGAGAGCUUGUGCAGCCCUUCCCUGGAGAGCACCCGCCUGAGCACGAGGUCCCCUACCUCGAGAGUCCUGGGUCGGAUGUUGCGGUAAUGGUACUGCCGCAGCGCCUGCUGGUAUCUUGCUGCUCGAAGCGCGGCCUCACGAUGGCGUUCCUCUCCCAGCACGAGAUUCGUCCCCCGUGUGGCGUCCUGCUGCGCUUCGUCAAACGCCAGGACCCGCACGGAGUGACGCUUGACCUCGUGAGGGAGGACCGCCUCUGCUCCAUAGACGAGGAAGAAUGGGGUCUCACUAGUUGACUUGGUAGCGGUCGUGUGGAUGGACCACAACACGGGUUGGAGCUCGUCGUACCAGCCCCUGCCGCAAGCCUCUAGCUUCUUCUUGAAGGUCCUGGUCUUGAGACCUUUCAUGACCUCUGCAUUGGCUCGUUCAGCCUGGCCGUUGCUCCGAGGGUGCGCCACCGAAGUGUAGCAUAUCUGCAUUCCAAGGUUAGCACAGUAUGUUUUGAAGAGAUUGCUGGUGAAUUGCGAAUCAUUGUCGGUGAUGAUGCGAUUAGGCACUCCGAAUCGACUCACGAGGCCCUUGAUGAACUUGACUGCAGAGCCGGCUGGGAUGGUGCAGACAGCUUCCACCUCAGCCCACUUGGUGAACUUGUCAACGGCAACGUAGAGGUAGCGAUAGCCCCCAAGCGCCCGGGGAAAUGGGACCAAGAUGUCCAGCCCCCAAACUGUGAAUGGCCACGAGAGGGGUAUGGUCUGCAAGCCCUAAGCCGGCUGCUGGAUCUGCUUGGCAUGGAAUUGGCAGGCUUCACAAGCUUUCACUAGCUCGAUGGCGUCAUUGAGUGUUGUAGGACAGUAGAACCCGCUCCGGAACGCCUUGCCAACGAGGGUUCGUGAUGACGAGUGAUGCCCGCAAUCUCCCCGUGUAUGUCUGCCAGCAAUUCUUUCCCUUGUUCCCUGGAAAUGCAACAUAGAGACACGUUGUCCGGCCGCUUCCGGUAGAGCUCUCCGUCUUGAAUGCAGUAGGUCGUAGCCUGCCAUGCCACGCGUUCUUCCUCCUCCUCCUUCUCUGGCAGAGUCCCUUGCAUUAGGUAACUCUUGAGUUCCACAGUCCAACAUCCCUCCUGAGGCUCUAGCGCCAGGAGCAAGCGUGCUCCUGAGUUCGGGCCAUAGGCCGGAGCUCCUAAGGCAGGUGGUUGAGGGAGCUCCUCCUGAGGUUGCGCUGUGCUUGAUGGUGGCGGUGUUGCUGAGGGUUUGAAGAGUCUUUCCUCAAAGAUGUCGGGCUCUUGAGGCAGUCGCCUGGACGCCCUCCUGGCGAUGUCAUCAGCCUCACUCCAACCCCCAAAACUGCCUUUCCAUUAUACGGACCUCUGCGAGAUAUGCUUCCAUAUGCUCGUCCUUCGGCUCAUACACCUUGUUGGAGAAGUUGACGAGUAGCUGCGAAUCACCUUUGACGACGAGGCGCUUUACCCACAAGGCCGCUGCGGCCUUCAAGCCUGCUAUCAAGCCCUCGUAUUCUGCGAUAUUGUUGGAAACCUUCUCUCCAUGCUGGAAAUGGAGCUGUAUGGCGUAAUAGAGCUUGUCUUGAGUGGGGGAUAUAAGCACCGCGCCAGCCCCCGCGCCAUGUCAUGAGAAUGCUCCGUCGAAGUACUUGACCCAACCAUCCGGCGCCUCACUUCCUGGGGAAAGCAACCGAUCUUCGCCGGCCUCGAGCCCCGACGCCUCUGUCCAUUCUGCCACAAAAUCUGCAAGUGCGGCCCCUUUGACGACCCUCGUUGUGCUGAAUUCCAACUGAAACGCUUGCAACUCGAUGUUCCAUUCUGUAACCCUUCCCGCUAAGUUGGGGCUUCUGAGUACUAUUUUCAACGGAUACGCUAAGAUGACCUUGAUGGGGUGGCCUUGGAAGUAGUGUUGCAGCUUCCGAGAGGCCACUAACAGCGCGAGCAAGAGCUUCUGGGGCAUGGGGUACCGAGCCCUUGCAUCCCGCAGCAUCGUGCUGACGAAAUACACGGGAUGCUCGACGAGGGUGGGCGCAGCGACGGAACUCGCACCCUCCGGGGAGUCGAAUGCCUCCCGAGGCUUAAGAGCCCCCGGCUCCUGACAUAUUAGUGAGGUCCCUUCAGCCACGGAGGCGCCUUCCUGUUGAGGCCGACGUGCAUCUGCCGAGGUCACGACCCUCGCGAGGCCUUCCUGGCCUUGAGCUACCGUGACUGGGGUCGCGGCUGACGCGGUCUUGGUCCGGCGCUCUUCCCGGACCGCCACCAGAGCCGCGCUGGCGGAAUAUGGUGUGGCGGCGAGAUAGAGCACCAAGGGCUCCUGAGGCGUGGUGCUACCAUCAUCGAAGGGCUGGUCAGGUAUUUCUUGAGAUCUUGGAACGCUUCGUCAGCCUCUUGAGUCCAUUCGAAUGGGCCCUUCCUCUUCAUCAGCUUGAAGGAGGGCAGAGCGCGUUCCCCCAGCUUGGAGAUAAAGCGCCCUAAUGUAGUUACUCGUCCGGCGAGCUUUUGCAUUUUCCUGAGGGUUUGCGGCGGACUCAUGUCUUCAAUUGCCUUGACCUUCUCUGAGUUAGCCUCGAUCCCUCUGUGGGAUACGAGGAAGCCCAGAAGCUUGCCAGAAGGAACACCGAACACGCACUUCUCUAGGUUGAGCCGCAGGUCCACUUCACGAAGGCUCGCAAAGGUUUCUUCCAGGUCCUGUAUCAGGGUCUUCGCCUCUCGAGACUUCACCACUAUGUCGUCGACAUAAGCCUCGGUGUUUCUCCCGAGCUGCCGGCCCAAGGCGAUAUGCAUCAGUCGCUGAAAGGUUGCGCCUGCGUUGCGCAAUCCGAACGGCAUGCAGGUGUAGCAGUAUGCCCCACACGGGGUCAGGAAAGCCGUUUUCUCCACAUCCUCUACCGCCAUCUUGAUUUGGUGAUAGCCCGAGAAGGCAUCCAGGAAGCACAGCAGGUCACACUCGGCGGUAGAGUUGACGAUUUGAUUGAUGCGGGGGAGCGGGAACGGAUCUUGAGGGAAAGCCUUGUUGAGGUUGGUGAAAUCAACGCACAUGCGCUCCUUUCCUCCCUUCUUCGGCACAACGACGGGGUUCGCCAGCCAUUCUGGAUAGUGAACCUCGCGAAUGACUCCCGCAACUUCUAGCUUGCGGGUUUCUUGGAUGAUGAAGGACUGCUUCUCGGUGGACUGCCGCCUUGCUUUCUGCUUCACGGGGCGUACAUUGGGGCAUACGUUCAGGUGGUGCUCAAUCACCUGCCUGGGGACCCCUGCCAGCUGCUUGGGUUCCCAUGCGAACACUUCCUUGUUCGCGCAUAGGAACUUCACUAGGGCCUCCUCUUGCUCGGGGUCGAGAUUGGCGCCUAUGGUGAAGGUGGCGCCGGAGGAUCCAUCCUCAUCGGCUGGUACUUGCUUGGUCUCCGCUUUGUCUUGGGUGAACAGCUGCCUCUUCUUGGUUGGCGCAGCCCCCUUGGCCUUGAGGGGGUCGAUGUUGGUGGGCUGCGCUACUGCGGCCGCCUUGAAAGCAAGCUUGAGCGCCUGCAUGGCAUCUUUUGCAUCUCCGGCUACGGUGAGGAUGCUGCUGCUCCCGGGCAUUUUCAUCAGGUUGUAGGCCGGGUGGGUUGCUGCCAUGAACUGGGCCAAGGCUGGGUAGCCGAGGAUGGUGUUGUACGGGAGGCCGAUGGGGCAACGUCGAAGUCGACCAGCUCCGUGCAGAAGUUGGCUUGGGUGCCAAAGGUUACCGGGAGGCAGAUCUGCCCUAGGGAGCCAGUGGAACUGCCCCCGACGCCCGAGAAGGGCUGGCUGCGUCAGAGUCGCUCCAGCGGCACGUGGAGGAGGCUGAAGGCCUCGACCGAUAGCAUAUUGAGGCUGGCCCCACCGUCGAUGAGGGUCUUGGUGAUGCCACCUGGCAGAUGGUAGGAGUGCACAGCAUCGGGAGCGCAUCCGAGCAAAUAGUGUUUGCAGGGUGAUUAUCCAAGCUGAAGGUCAAGUCAGCCUUGGGUGCCACCCGACCCGGAGGAGCUUCGUGGCACGUGAGGGCGGCGCCGGUCUGGCGGACGAAUGGCUUGACGUGGCGACUCGUGGGUGGGGCUUGUGAGCCACCUAGGAGAGUCGCGACGACUGGGAGUGCCUGCGCAGCAUGGUGGGCGAGGAAGAGGCUGCGCAGCUCCUCCCAGGAGGUCACUGAAGACGCUGGCAAGUGGAGCAGCCACAUGCGCGGGACGCCGACGAGGGCCAUGGGCAGCCAGUUGGCCAUGACCCGGUCGUCGCCCCCGGCCUUGAGGAUGGCCUCCUCAUAUGCCAGCAGGAAAGCUAGCGGAUCUGUCGCGCCGUCAUAGCGUGGCGGCAUCUCUGGCUUGAACUUGUUCGGCCACCGCACCUGUCGCAAGGUGGGGGCCAGAGCUCGGAGCCCCCGGGGUCCAGCGCCGGCUCCUGCGGCUGGAGCGGGCGGCACGUUGCCCGCCAUGAGGGCAAAGCGCGGUGUUGACGGAGAACGGGUCGACGACAGGGAGAGCUCUGGCGCACCCCUACCUGGCGCGCCAAAUGUCGGAUAUCGGGUUCCGGCAAAACCCUUAAGGUUCGAACUCUGGGGUGCGCGCGAAGAUCUCUCCCCUACCGAUCCACGUUCUAACGCCUCGCUGAGGACCUAAGCUACACGAUGAACAACACAAGGGACGCAAAGUUUAUACUGGUUCAGGCCACCAUUGUGGUGUAAUACCCUACUCCAGUGUGUGGUGGGUGGAUUGCCUCAGGAGGCUGAUGAUGAAUAGUAUAGAGGAAGAACAGCCUCGUGAGGGGUGUUCUUGUGGUGGUGUUCUGCUUGGGAAGGAUCUGAUCCCUUCCUACUAUGGUGGCUAGCCCUUUAUAUAGAGGCCUUGAUCCUCUUCCCAAAUAUUGAGCGGGAAGGGCGCCAACAACGGCCAUUUUGAAGGGGAACAUCUAGUACAACUUAUCCUGACUAAAGUUGGUCUUCGACCGCCAAAGGCGCUGGUGAUGAUGUCGUCUUGGGCUCCAUGGUGACCUCCGUCCUGCCGCUCUGCUAGUCUUGGUCUCGUUGCACUGAAAUGGUAACCUUUACUUGACGCCUCGGUACUCCGCGCCUGUGCUUGCUCCCUUUGCACCAAAGAGGAAACAAGGACACUGCAUAGGCAGGCGCCCGCCUGGCGCCCGCCUGGUCUUGAUCGUCAUGGCUUGCGUCAUGGGCACCUCGUGAGGUACCCUUGCCUUGAUCUCUCCGCCUCCUCGCGAGCUAGCCUGGCGAGUCCGCCCCUGAGGAAGCCUUCCGUCGUCCGCCCCGCGAGGCUUGGACCCUCACGAGGAUCUUGAGCUUGAGCAGACGAAGGUGGGCUGCAUUGGGCCACCACUUGAGCCACGCCGCAGGCCGCAGGCAGGCAAGUCUGGGGACCCCCAUUUCCAGAACGCCGACAGUAGGGAGACACUCCAAGAUAAGAGAAAAGUAGGAGUGGGAGGUUCAAUUCCGUUGACCCGGCAUUCCAAGUCAAUUCUAACACCUUGCGAUAUGGUAUAUGAUGUGUGUGGCGCAAACCUGCGGUAAAGCUACAUUUACACCGCUGGGCCUGACUCCUGAGCCAGCUGAGCACUUUAAACAGGGAAAGCCAAGCUGGGGAAGCUACCAAUUUGUGCUCUCCUGUCGAGGGAAGGCAAAAUUUCAUGUGUUUGACCCUUUUCUGGUCUAAAAUCGGGAUUUGACCCACGUUCGAAAAAAAUUGAGAUAUGACCCUUUUGCCUACCGCCAGGAACAUCGACAGUAGGUCCCCACAGCCUACCGCCAUAACAUGUGGUGGUAGUGAAGGAAAUAUGCCCUAGAGGCAAUAAUAAAGUUAUUAUUUAUUUCCUUAUUUCAUGAUAAAUGUUCAUUAUUCAUGCUAGAAUUGUAUUAACCGGAAACUUAGUACAUGUGUGAAUACAUAGACAAACAGAGUGUCACUAGUAUGCCUCUACUUGACUAGCUCGUUGAAUCAAAGAUGGUUAAGUUUCCUAACCAUAGACAUGAGUUGUCAUUUGAUUAACGGGAUCACAUCAUUAGGAGAAUUAUGUGAUUGACUUGACCCAUUCCGUUAGCUCGGCACUUGAUCGUUUAGUAUGUUGCUAUUGCUAUCUUAGUGACUUAUACAUGUUCCUAUGACUAUGAGAUUAUGCAACUCCCAUUUACCGAAGGAACACUUUGUGUGCUACCAAACGUCACAACGUAACUGGGUGAUUAUAAAGGUGUCUCCGAAGGUACUUGUUGAGUUGGCGCAUUUCAAGAUUAGGAUUUGUCACUUUGAUUGUCGGAGAGGUAUCUCUGGGCCCUCUCGGUGCACAUCACUAUAAGCCUUGCAAGCAAUGCGAUUAAUGAGUUAGUUGCGGGAUGAUGCAUUACAUAACGAGUAAAGAGACUUGCCGGUAAUGAGAUUGAACUAGGUAUUGAGAUACCGACGAUCGAAUCUCGGGCAAGUAACAUACCAUUGACAAAGGGAACAACGUAUGUUGUUAUGCGGUUUGACCGAUAAAGAUCUUUGUAGAAUGUGUAGGUGCCAAUAUGAGCAUCCAGGUUCCGAUAUUGGUUAUUGAUCGGAAAUGAGUCUCGGUCAUGUCUACAUAGUUCUCGAACCCAUAGGGUCCGCACGCUUAAAGUUUGGUGAUGAUCGGUAUUAUGAGUUUAUGUGUUUUGAUGUACCCAAGAUAGUUCGGAGUCCCGGAUAUGAUCACGGACAUGACGAGGAGUCUCAAAAUGGUCGAGACAUAAAGAUCGAAAUAUUGGAUGACUAUGUUUGGACUUUGGAAGUGUUCCGGGUGAGUUCGGGCAUAUACCGGAGUACCGGGGGGUUAUCGGAACCCCCCGGGGAGUAUAUUGGGCCUAAUGGGCCUUAGUGGGAGAAGAGGAGGGGCGGCCAGGGCAGCCACGCCCCCCUUCCCCUCUAGUCCGUAUUGGACAAGGAGGGGGCAGCGCCCCCCCCCUUUUCCUUCUCCUCCUCUCUCCCUUCCUUCCCUUCUCCUACUCCUACAAGGAAAGGAGGAGUCCUACUCCCAGUGGGAGUAGGACUCCCCCCUUGGCGCGCCCUCCUCCUGGUCGGCCGCCUCCCCCCUUGCUCCUUUACAUACGGGGGUAGGGGGCACCUCUAGACACACAAGUUAAUCUAUUGAUCUAUUCCAGCCAUGUGCGGUGCCCCCCUCCACCAUAUUACACCCCGGUCAUAUCGUAGCGGUGCUUAGGCGAAGCCCUGCGUCAGUAGAAACAUCAUCACCGUCACCACGCCGUCGUGCUGACGAAACUCUCCCGUCAAACUCUGCUGGAUCGGAGUUCGCGGGACGUCAUCAAGCUGAACGUGUGCUGAACUCGGAGGUGUCAUACGUUCGGUACUUGGAUCGGUCGGAUCGUGAAGACGUACGACUACAUCAACCGCGUUGUGCUAACGCUUCCGCUUUCGGUCUACAAGGGUACGUGGACUCACUCUCCCCGCUCGUUGUUAUGCAUCACAUAGAUCUUGCGUGUGCAUAAGAAAUUUUAGAAAUUACCACAUUCCCCAACAGGUAGGUGUCGAGACAGCGUCAGAUGGACGUCAGCUUGGCUGACGUGGAAAAAGGACCCUACCGCCAGACCACCCGGCGGUAGGAUUCGAAAACCUACCACCGGGGCCCCUGGCGGUAGGGUCGUGGGGUGGAUAAGGUUGGUGAGGGGCUGUGUGUGGGCCCCACCAUCACUCUUCUUCCCCACUCUUCUUCUUCCCCGUGGUGAGCUCCUCCCCUCUCUCUUUCCCCCACCCAAACACCCCCUAGAUCCACUCCAUUUGCUUGAGGUUUCACCGGUGGAUCCGAAGCAUUUUCAUCCCCCAAGGUACCUCUCCCACUUCCCCUCAUUUUGAUUGGUUGAAAUCCUGGUUUUGUCUGCUUUAGCUCAUUUUAUUGCAAACCAUAGGUGUUGAUUUUGGUGUGCAUUUAUGAUGCAUUUAUGGCACAUUUAUGAUGCAUUUAUGGCUAUCUUUGUGCUUGUGCUUGCCUAGGGCUAGGGGUUAUAGUGGUAAUGUGAGGGGAUAGUGUUAGAGUUAGGAUGAGUGUUAGUGUUAGGGUUAGGGUUAGGAUUAUAGUUAUGGUUAGGGUUAUGGUUUAAGGUUAAGGUGAAAUUACUAUGAAUAGAAAUUAUUUGUCCAAUGUGUGCAUAAAUUAUGUUAUUGGUCCAUUUGAAUUGGUUGGAUGACAUAUAUGGAUGACUUUAUUGUUUCCAAUUUUGUUAGAUGCAUAAGCUCGUAAAUCUUCAUUAUUUGGACAAGACGACAUUUAUGCUUAGAAAUGACGAUGAAGGCGAAGAGGCUAUGGUUUUUGACACAAGUCCAAAUUUGAUGGUCUUGUAGUUAAAGUGAGAAGCGUCUUACAUUGGAAUGACCCAAAUGUCGAGGUUAAGCUUAUUGGGAGGUAUGACAUUGGAUUGGGAGUAAAGUCCCGAUCAACGAGUAUGCCCAUCACCUUCCAAUUGUAUUGGAAUGUGUACAAGGACAAAGUUGACGCAUCACAAGACAAGUCUCUUGAGAUAUUUGCCACAAAGGUUGAUCCUCCUCCUCCCUUGCAAAUUGAUUUAAACUGCAUUGUAUCCUUCCCAAUACAUGAUGAUAGUGCCGAGGUGUAUAUCCCCAAUUGUUCUAGAAAACCACCAAGUAGCCAACCCAAUGAAGAUCAUAUCAAUGCUAGCGCCAUAGUACUCCGAGUUGAUGCUAUUCCUCUUGUUCAAGAAGAUGCUAGUGGUCAUGUUGAUGAUGAUGCUAUUGUUGCUCAAGAGGAUGCUUACGCGGAGAAUGAAGAGAUUAAUUACAAUCCCAUUGGUAACUUGGAUGUCAUUGUGCGGCAAUAAGACAUGGACCAUACCCUCCCUUAUAACCGUAUGUGUGGGUAUGACUCGGAUGACGAGGGUCCGGAGGAAGAAUUGGAUGAGGAUGGGUUGACGGCACAAGAAAAUCAAAUCUACAAGAAGGUGACCGGCAAGGAAAGAGGGCCGCCAUUGUUUAGGGAUGUGAGUCUUGCGGACAAGGCCAUUGUUGACGGUGGGCUAAGAUUGGGGUUGUUUGAGCCAACACCGUGCCCCAAAUUCAGUGAUGCUCGGCCAGAAAAUGAGGAUGAGAAUGCUCAUUUGAAGAAAGGCAUCAAGUUUGGUUCUUUGGUAGAGUUCAAGAUAUGGUUGUGUGACUACUCCAUUAGGAACCAUAGGCCGUUUGUUGUUGGUCAUUCAAAUCAAAAAGUUCGGUACACAGUCAUAUGUGACCAAGAAGGUUACCCUUGGAAGGUCCGCGGUAGAAAAAUCAAAGAAACCGGGCAAUGGGUGUUGAAGAGUUGUGUUGCCACUCACACGUGCGUACCCCCAGACAAGGCCGACCGAAGUAAAGGACACCAUCAACUCACGUCUGAGUAUCUAGGCUACAAAUUAUUGAAUCAAAUAGCACAUGAUCCAACCGUGAAGAUCAAGUUUCUCAUGACUUCGAUUGAGGAACUAUUCGGAUACCCGGUCAAGUAUGGAAACGCAUGGAUGGCCAAGGCAAACGCUAUUAGGAUGUUGCAUGGUGAUUAUGAGGCCGCAUAUAACAUUCUGCCGAAGAUGUUGGCAGCCAUUACUCAUCGUAACCCUGGCAUGCGCCAUCUGGUCGAAUCAAUUGACGGAGUGUUUCAUUGUGCCUUCUGGAGCUUUGGACAAUUCAUCAAGGCAUUCACGUAUUGUCGGUCGGUCUUGUCUAUAGAUGGCACAUUCUUGACCGGCAAAUACAAGGGCACAUUGAUGGUGGCAAUGGCCCACUCGUCAAAUGAUAAUGUGUUGCCGGUGGCAUUUGAGUUGGUGCCUUCGGAGCACGAUGACAAUUGGGAGUGGUUCAUGGGGCAUGUGAGGACAAAGGUGAUUGGUAAGAGAGAGGUAAGCAUUAUAUCGGAUCGCCAUCAUGGGAUUCUCAAAGCAAUAGACGUCAAUAUUCCAGGUCUUCCAAAGCUUCAACACCGUUGAUGCAUGAGACACUUUGUGGUAAACUUUUACCGGGCAUGCAAGAGCAAGGAGUUUUGCAAAGACCUUACCCAUGUUUGCGUUGCAUUCAACACUGACACAUUCCAAAGAAGAUAUGAUAAACUCUUGGAGGAGUUGGAGAAGAACAAAGGGGGAAAAGAAUUCUUGACUAGGCACGAGCCGGAUAAAAAAAGUGGUCACGCGCCUACGAUGAAGGAGGUAUGCGAUAUGGGGACAUGGCGCAAGAGGAGGAUGAGGCACGUGACAAGAAGGGGAAAUGUCCUCGUAUGACUCGUAGGCCUUUGCUUCGGUGGACUCAUCAUGUAACGGGAUGAAGCCAUGCCAUAUUUAUCAUGCACUAUGUACUACUAAGGCAACAAGCCAUGCCACAUGUGUAAUGAGUUUGUCGUCAGAACUAUCUCGUUUGAUCCAACUUUGUCUGGAAUUUCUUUGUUAUUUGUCAGUCAUUUCUGUCAUAAAAUGUUUGUGCACCAUGUGAAAUCAGCAAAGAACACAAAAAACAGAGUGGUUUUGCUCUGUUUUACAGCCUACCGCCAGAUCCCUUGGCGGUAGGAUGUACGACCCUACCGCCAGGAUGUCUGGUGGUAGGGUGCCGACACACACAAAAGCUUGCUAUGGCCGAGUUUGCGAUUUUUUGGCAGUAGGGUUGGCUACCCUACCGCCAGAUGGUCUGGCAGGAGGGUGUCAACACACACAAAAGCUUGUUGUGACCGAAUUUGUGAAUUUUCUGGCGAUAGGGUUGGCUACCCUACCGCCAGCGGGUCUGGCGGUAGGGUGCUGACCCCCCCCCCCCCCAAAAAAAACCGUCUGUGACCGAGUUUGCAGUUGUUUUGGUGGUAGGGUUGGCUAUCCUACCGCCAGUGGUUCUGGCGGUAGGGUGUCGAACCGUGUUGUGACCGAGUUUGUGUUUCUUUUGGUGGUAGGGUUGGCCACCGUACCGCCAGGGGGUAUGCCGGUAGGGUGCCAACCAAUCAAAAUAGACUUGUUUUACCCCUUUUUUACAAACUUCUAUGAACUAAAGAAAUCCAGAUAUGAUCAAAGCACAUAAGACAUACAAAAAUGAUCAAGUAGCAAGGACAUGCAUAACUCAGCAUAGUUCAUUACAUCCACAAAUGACACUGGUUCAAAUGACGUAAAGCAUCUAUCGAUUCGAACGACAUGAGUUCAAACUACAAGCUCAAGCUCAAGCAAUGCAUUUUCUACACCGAAAAAAUUUCUCUAAAAUGUAUAAGAUAUUCAAUUGUUCGGCACGCUCAGGAUUAGGCUUUAGUUGAUAAUUCGAGAAUCCCUCCCAAUUCUCCAACACACCUUUCGUUUCGUGGAACCAGCCCCAUCGAGCACAGUGUUCCGGAAUCUCUGACAUGCCUUGUGUGAUUGCUCACCCAAUGACCUGUCCGGGUUUUGUCAAGUUCAGCUCCCGUAUGUCUUCUUUGCUGACAGAGAACCCAAUCUCCAUUGCCAAAGCGUGUCUGCAAGCAUAUUCCAUCUCAUGCAGCUCAUUAAGUAUCUUCUUUUCUUUCUUUCACAAGCAUCCGAAAAACUUUUCUCUCCUUAAGAUCAGAAGGUUCCUCCAUAAAAGGAUACUUAUUGAAAUCCAUCAUGGCCGCACUUGCCUCAUCACAACUCCUGAACCAUGCUUCAAGCUCCCUCUUCAUACCACGAUGUCGCUCCGCUACAACCUUCUCACACGCUACCGCUAAACUCAUAGCUGCAAUGUCCAUCCUACAUGAAUAUACGGGUAUAAGAUGACAAUCAACAAAAUAAAUCAAAUGGAACACAACACUUGGUAUCUAUAAAGGUGAUCUUGAUCUUAAUUAUUUUCUUAAGCCUAACCAUAACCCUAACCCCAAAGAUGACCACUAAUCAUAGCACUAGAUCUAGAUACAGAAACAAUUCUACAAACAAUUCUAGGCACAUAAUACAUAAAGAAAUAACAAACAUAACCCUAAAUGCAUCAUACUAAUUAAUUUGACCACACCAAAAUCAACACCUAGGGUUUGCAAUAAAUUGAGCUAAAGCACACAAAACUAAGAUUUAAACCAAUCAAAAUGAGGGGAAGUGAGAGAGGUACCUUGGGUGAUGAAAGUGCUACGAAUCCACCGAACAAAUGUGAACCAAAUGAGAAAGAUUUGAGAGGAUCUUGUGGUCCAAGAGGGGAGGGAGCUUGAGCUUGGGGGAGAGGUGAGGUGUGAGGUGUGGGGGCUGAAUGAGUGAGUGUGUGUGGGGGNNNNNNNNNNNNNNNNNNNNNNNNNNNNNNNNNNNNNNNNNNNNNNNNNNNNNNNNNNNNNNNNNNNNNNNNNNNNNNNNNNNNNNNNNNNNNNNNNNNNNNNNNNNNNNNNNNNNNNNNNNNNNNNNNNNNNNNNNNNNNNNNNNNNNNNNNNNNNNNNNNNNNNNNNNNNNNNNNNNNNNNNNNNNNNNNNNNNNNNNNNNNNNNNNNNNNNNNNNNNNNNCCCCCCCUUACCAACCUUAUCCACCCCAGGACCCUACCGCUAGGGGACCCGGCGGUAGGUUUUCGAAUCCUACCGCCGGGUGGUCUGGCGGUAGGUUCCUUUUUUCACGUCAGCCAAGCUGACGGCCGUCUGACGCCGUCUCGACACCUACCACCACAGGUUACGGCGGUAGGCUGUGGCCUGUGGGGACCUACAGCCGAUGCCCCUGGCGGUAGGCAAAAAGGUCGGAUCUCAAAAAAAAUCGAACGUGGGUCAAAUCCCAAAUUUAGACCACAAAAGGGUCAGAACAUGAAAUUUUGCCCCGAGGGGAAGAGGUACCAGGUACGCUACUCUUUAUUUUUAUUCUUCUUUUUUGAACAGGCAUUACAUGAUUGCUUCUUGCUGUGAGAUUUUUACGUAAUCUUGUUUUUGCACAGCUAAUAGAGCCUUCCGUAACUGUAGUUGUGAUUGUGUGAACGCGUGAUGAUGCCCGGAUCGCUAUCGAAUUCGUAGUAUUAACAGUAGUUAAGUUUUGCAGUUGUUUAUCAUGGACCCCCCAUGUAACUAGGUCUGCCCGUGAACAUGAUCAAUAAGCUGCCAUGUCUGCGCUCCACAUAUUUUGCAGGCAACACUACUGACGCGGGUCAUGCCUGACGGAGCACUCCCUGGAGAACUCGACAUGGCUAUUCUACUGGCGUUUCUGCUCCUGAUGUCUUAUGGAACUGUCAACAUCCAUGGCUCAACAACGGUUAACCACGGGGACAACACAGACAUGCUCCCCUUGCUCGACUUCAAAGCGGCUACCAACGACCCAACAGGCGUCCUGAGAUCAUGGAACAGAAGCGUCCGCCACUGCGACUGGACGGGUGUCAUUUGCAGCUCACUGAAUUCAGGGCGCGUCGUUGCCCUGAGAAUCCCCGGCCAAGGCUUGUCAGGCGAGAUCACCCCCUCGCUUGGAAACUUGACGUUCCUUGAGAUCAUCAGCUUGCGCUACAAUGGCUUCUCCGGCCAGUUACCUCCCCUGAAUCAGCUCCACGACCUUCGCGUCCUUGACCUGAAAUCCAAUUCAUUCCAGGGGAUAAUCCCUGACUCAAUCAUGAAUUGUUCAAACCUAGGUAUUCUAGAUCUUUCUAGAAACAUGCUAGAAGGUCCAAUCCCAAAAAAAUUGGUUCGCUCCACAAUUUACUAAGUAUAGAUCUUUCCAGGAAUAAUCUCAUAGGAGGCAUCCCAUCAAGCAUCAGCAACGCCACCAAGCUUCGACAGCUCGAUCUUCGAGAAAAUGAACUAUAGGGGGGAACAUUGCUGAAUCCUGAUGUGUUUGGGCAACUUUCACAACUCCCAAGGCUGGACCUUAGCCAUAAUAAUCUCCAAGGUAUCAUACCUCCAUAGAUUAGUGAGCUUAAACACCUGAAUGAAUUAACAUCAGGGCCUAGUAACCAAUCCCAAAACGAAUGGCUUACAUGAGAGAGGUAGCUACCCAAAUGCAUAGAAUCAGCACGGUGAACACAGGAUGGGAAGUUAGGGGCUCAACUUCUUCCAGGAGACUUGUAGGUUGGGCUUCUCGAAGGAACCAAAGAAGAAAAGAGAUGUAAUUAGAGUCUUUGACAAAAUGCUCCAUCUUUAAUAAGGCUUUGAUCAUUGUACCCCUUCUAAGAAUGUAAUGUAAUACAGUGCAAUACCUUUCUGGUUACAAUGAUUGUCUUUUGUUAUGUUAUGUGCAAUGCAACCCCGUCAUUCAUCGGUGUGGCGAUCAUGGCCUGGAUGUGAUAAUCGCGUGCUGCUAGGGACAUCGGUUGAGGGGUUGUGCGUCAUUCAUCGGUGCUGCAAGCGAUGUGCAUACACCGAGCCAGUCCCGCACCCCACGAGAGGCAGACCACAUCCGGUGUGACCUCUCGCAACAUGGGCAAUGAAAGUCAUGCACUGUUUUGUAAAUAUUGACAUAGUUUUAGAAUUAUAUAAAGACAUCAUGCGCUCCCCAGGGCAGAAACUCCACUCUCGGGAGGGGGGCAACCAACAACAAGAGAGUAACGUUUUUCAAGCUAUAUUAGGGUGCAGAGAUGGAUUUUCGGCAGAGGAGUGGGGCGUUUCGGUGCCCAGGCUCAUCUACACCCAGUUAGAAAAAAAAUUCUAAAGAUUCUAAACAAAUUUAAAAAAUUCCAAAAAAAUUGUGUGUGGUAGACAAUUUGAUGUGUGUGGUCCGCUCCAAAUUUCAAGUUAUUUGGACAUUUGAGUAGCUCUCGGCAAAAAAGAUAAAUCGGACCAAAACAGUACAUGAACAGUAAACACCCCAAUUUGUCAUUUUUCUGAGAGUUCCUCAGAUGUCCAAAUGAUUUGAAAAUUCAAGCGGACCUCGCGCAUCAAAUUGUCUACCUCACAAAAAAAUUGAAAUUUUUUAAAUUUUUUUAGUAUUUGUUUUGAUUUUUUGCGUCAGCGCGGGUGCAAAUGAGCUCGGGUGCAGAGAUGGAUUUUCGACAGAGCGAGUACUAUAUAAAAACUAAGCAUUUGUUGCUCAACCAAUGGUUCAGGUUUGCCGUUGUGCUGAAGCAUGAUGUGUGUGGUGCAUCCUGUGAACACAUGUAUUGUCUUCAAUUUUUAUUUAGUUGUUCCAGUUUACUUUUCCAGACGUUUCUGUGUACAAUGAUUUAGAAUAAACUGAAACAACCUUCUUCCUAAAUCCUAAUUAAAAAGAUUAGGCAACACACGGGGUGUGCUAAAGGUUCAGGUCAUGGCAUGUCAGCCAUGUCUAUUUUCGGUAUAUAUAAUGAAAAUACUCUCUCUGUUCUCAAAUAUUUGUCUUUCUAGGCAUUUUAAAUGGACACAACAUACAGAUGUAUAUAGACAUAUUUUAGAGUGUAGAUUCAAUCAUUUUGCUCCGUACGUAGUCACUUGUUGAAAUCUCUAGAAAGACAAAUAUUUGGAAACGGAGGGAGUAGAAUAUACGUCAACGUGACACUGGUCGUGCCAAUAGAAGAUGCCUUUGGUGCCUGUACAAGACUCCAUGGAAACAGGAGAGCACUUGCUAUCAGCAUAGUGCCUCCCGAUGUCUCCUUUCUUUAAAAAAAAAAAUUUGCUAUCAGCAUAGAACUGUCUGCUGCUCCCAAUGUUAACUGCAUACGUGCCAUAACCAUUUGUUCACAAAAUUCAGUGUCGUCUGCGCUCCCUCAGAUACUAGUUUCAAUGACGUGCAUUUCCUUACAAUAAACUUGUGAGCUAGCAUACAAUGUAAAACAUAAGUGGGCAAACGCAGGAAAUAAUAAUCUGUAUCUAAAAGUCGUAAUACAAAAUGACGUGCAUUUGGUGCACACUCUAGAGUAACAAAUCUCUGUGAAAAGAAAACAGUUCUCCCUGCAACCUGAAUAAACCUGACCAUUUAAUAUUUUGGUCAUUUCAAAUAAAAAUAGCAGCGUAGUUAUGAUUUCACACUACAAGCAUCUUGGCGAAAGGAAAAAAGCGAAAAGGCUACUCCCUCUGUUCCAUAAUAAAAAACGUUCUUACAUUAUGGGACGGAGGGCCAUUUUAGUUAUUAUAUGCAGCAGAGAACGGUCACGCCUUUACUUAUAUUACCUUCAAACUCUCUCGCACAUAUAUACACUUCUAAAAAAAAAGGAAAUAUUUAAUACCAAGCUGAGAAAAGGUUGCACAUCAUUGAUUAGAAAAAGAGAAGAAACAACAGUUUGAGACUCAUACGUUUGUAGGUACGGGUCAUCUCUAAAACGACUCAUCAGUAGAAGAAACUGAAGACUUGGUCUCUUGUCAACCAGUCAUACUGAAUACUGAUUAUGUUUACAAUCAUCAUUGUUUCAGCUAACAUACAUUAAACUUAGCACAUACCGUCAUCACAGAAUCUAAAAACUAAAGUACCAACGCAUUUCAACAAAAGCUCACUUACCUGUGUGGUUGCUAGCCUGAGCUCUAUGCCUGACAAACAGUAUCGCCUGAAUGUAGCCUGAUAUUCAUACGAAUUUUGCCAGAGAAAACAUGAAGUUUUAAGACCUAUUUUUUAGAUGGCAUCGACAGCCAUCCUUGACUAGACUCCUUGCUAACUCCAGCUGCCUCAACCAGGAUAACAACACGGCAUGCUAGCUCGAGCCAAGCACUCAGGACACCAACCAAAGCGCGCACAGGUACUUAUCAGGCCAGGCAAGUUACAUCAAGCCUCCAACAAAACAGGCCUUGACUCCUGAUAGACUUAUUCAGCUAGCGAAGAAGGCUCUCCAUAACUUCCCCUUGCACAUUUGCCACCAGCUCUCUGUUUUUGUCUUCUGUCUGUAGAAUUCAGAAUCUGCACCUGCUCCCAAGACAUGAUCUCUCACGGUUAUCAAUAAUUCAUCUAAAGCAAUGAUUUUCCUCACAAGAGAGUUCUUCUCAUCCUUGACAUCAAUGCAAAGUAAGAAGGCCUCAAUCUCAGCAACAUUUGCGUCAUCAUCCUUAAUCAAAGCUUCUUUGAAUGAUCGUAAUGUUUUUAUAAGAAAAGAUGAACCCUUCUCUGUGCUCUCAGGACCAGCACUUCCAAUACUGUUUCCAGUAACUUCAUAUUCCGAAUCCACCUGUAACAAAAAGGAAAUUCAGUGUAAAAAGGAAUACAAGUAUUUGUGUAGACAAAUACAGUAUGUGCAAGGCAAUAGAUUCUAGUGAUACAGAUCAUUUUAUCUAGCUUUUACAGAAGCGAUGAAAGUGAAAUAAGAUACUGAUACACCACUGCCAUCUAGAACUUUUUAAAUCUACUAUCAUUAUAAUACGAAAGCAAUUGAAAGAUAACAGUUAAGAUUUGAUGGAUGAAGAACGGUUAAAAUUUAAUUAGAUUUGAGUGUCUUAACUAUAGGAAUCAGAGUGAGAAACCAGUAUCUGGAAUAGAAAAGAAAUGUUAAGAUUUUACAGAGUUAACGUUGGUUGAUAUUUAAUUGGCUUUAACAGCCCUAAUUAGAAACCAAAUAAAUAUCUAUAGGAUACAAACUCCUCUAUCCAAUUGGAAUCUAUCUAACUAUUAUUUUUAUUUUAUAAAACACUUAAGAUUUAAGAAAAAAUUAACGGUUAAGAUUUGAUGAUUAAAAACACACCAUACUUGGGUUCAAGAGAAAAAGAAACAGAGUUGAAUAUGUUUUCUGUUUUGGAAACAGAUAGGAAGAUGUUGACUAUUCUUGGACAGUCUUUUUCUAAAGAAUGUGGCCUAUUCAAACUCUAGAUUGAUUACUACUACUCCCUCCGUCCCAAAAUAAGUGUCUCAACUUUGUACUAGCUCUAGUACAAAUUUAUACUAAGCUCAAGACACUUAUUUUGGGACGGAGAGAGUAUAAGAGAUAAAUAUGCACCUAGAAAACAAAUAUAUGUACCGUCCCUCCGAAAACAUGGAAGAGGCUAGAGAGUGCCACGGGGAUAAUCAUGUGUACUACUAUCUAACAGUUGAAUGCAAAGCUUGAAUCAUGUUGCGUACGAAUAUGUUGGCAGACGCUCAGUUCUAACUGGCAUGAAAUUAUGGAACACAUAUUCAUUAAAUAACAUGUAAAUAUAAAACUGAUGUAGAAGAUAAGAAAAAUGUAAAGGGAAAAAGAAAACGUAACUUGCCAUUGAGCAUAUAAUGUAUCCAUAUCCGAAUACUUAAACAAUACUGACAAAUCCAGCUAUUCAUACACUACUUAGUAGUUAUAGAUUAUGUAUGUGGAACUUUAUACUAAUGCUAUCUUUUAAUCUGCAGAAACCCUCUAAAUAUUUACAAUAAAAAUAGGGCAGCGCGGUGCACGUAGCUCCUGCUUGCACAGGGUCCAGGGAAGGGUCCGAUCACUUUGGGUCUUUUGUAUGCAGCCUUUCCUUGCAUUUCUAAAAGAGGCUGCUUCCAGGACUUGAACACUAUUGACAAAUCUAGCUUUUCAUAUACUAGUUAGUAGUUAUAUAUUAUGCAUGUGGAGCUUUAUAAUAAUGCUAUCAUAUAAUCUAAACCCUCCAAAUAUUUAAACACCACUGACAAAUCUAGCUAUUCAUAUACUCCCUCCAAUCCAAAAUAAUUGUCGCAGUUUGCAACACUUAUUAUGGAUUGGAGGUAGUACUAGUUAUAGAUUAUGAUGUGGAGAUUUGUAUCAAAACGCUAUCAUAUAACCUGCAGAAACCCUUGACAAUUUGCAUCCUUGCAGCAAUGUACAAGUAGUUGAGGUCGUCUACUAUUUUUUGGAAGGAAUAGGAGCAUCACUAUCAGCUCCUCUACUAUGAGUUAUGCAAAUAAGACAUGUAACUUUGACCAAAAAUCGAUAGAAUAUCUUCACAGCAAUACAUCAACCCAAUCAUCUCGACUUCAUAGCAUACAAUUUACAGACCAAACAUAAAAGGGAAUCCUUAGCACCAUGAUCAGACACAAGAAUAUGCUCACCGUGUUGUCUUGUCUACUAAAGGAGGCCAGGCCAAAUAGGGAUGGACAGGGCAGCCAAUUCGCUUUCUGUUCUUAAAAUGCUGGUUCAGCUCCGCUGUUUCCAGAGAGAAGGACAUGAACCACUCAGGGGAUUUGUACUUAUCCCUGAAAUUCUUCCAGGGGCAAAUAGAAAGGUACACAAAGCCAUUGAAGACCGUCAUAAGCUGCACAGAGAAUUUAUCUUCCACUGAACAGCUGGUGACCUCCAUAAAUCUAGCGUGCAACGGGAACGUACUGUGCAGCACAAAUCUCUGGACGCCAUCAUCACCGGCUGUGCAGAUCCAAAGAAAAAGCAUGCAAUCCUUCUCAAUGACGAUACAGAGGUUCCGAUCCUUGGUCUGACCAAUCUUAAAUUUUGGGUAUACCACUCUCAAGG